rnacentral:rRNA from 1 species
UGGGGAAUAUUGCACAAUGGGCGCAAGCCUGAUGCAGCCAUGCCGCGUGUGUGAAGAAGGCCUUCGGGUUGUAAAGCACUUUCAGCCGGGAGGAAGGCGUUAAGGUUAAUAACCUUGGCGAUUGACGUUACCCGCAGAAGAAGCACCGGCUAACUCCGUGCCAGCAGCCGCGGUAAUACGGAGGGUGCAAGCGUUAAUCGGAAUUACUGGGCGUAAAGCGCACGCAGGCGGUCUGUCAAGUCGGAUGUGAAAUCCCCGGGCUCAACCUGGGAACUGCAUUCGAAACUGGCAGGCUAGAGUCUUGUAGAGGGGGGUAGAAUUCCAGGUGUAGCGGUGAAAUGCGUAGAGAUCUGGAGGAAUACCGGUGGCGAAGGCGGCCCCCUGGACAAAGACUGACGCUCAGGUGCGAAAGCGUGGGGAGCAAACAGG